GCGAUCGUGGCCGCGACCUUGGCGUUAACACCCACGACUAUGGAUGCCUUGCAAUCAAAACUGAAUGAUUGGGGAUGGGGUGAAGCCGAUAUUGACAAUCGUGUGGCGGAGUUGCUAGGGAAAGAAACAACAUU
rnacentral:ribozyme from 1 species